ACCUGGGUGGCUCAGUUGGUUGAGCAUGCGACUUUGGCUCAGGUCAUGAUCUCGCAGUUCGUGGGUUCGAGCCCCGCGUCGGGCU
rnacentral:tRNA from 1 species